rnacentral:tRNA from 1 species
CGGGGUGUAGCGCAGUUGGUAGCGCACUUCGUUAGGGACGAAGGGGUCGCAAGUUCGAAUCUUGUCACUCCGA